rnacentral:rRNA from 1 species
GACGAACGCUGGCGGCGUGCCUAAUACAUGCAAGUUGAGCGCUGAAGGUUGGUACUUGUACCAACUGGAUGAGCAGCGAACGGGUGAGUAACGCGUGGGGAAUCUGCCUUUGAGCGGGGAGCAACAUUUGGAAACGAAUGCUAAUACCGCAUAAAAACUUUAAACACAAGUUUUAAGUUUGAAAGAUGCAAUUGCAUCACUCAAAGAUGAUCCCGCGUUGUAUUAGCUAGUUGGUGAGGUAAAGGCUCACCAAGGCGAUGAUACAUAGCCGACCUGAGAGGGUGAUCGGCCACAUUGGGACUGAGACACGGCCCAAACUCCUACGGGAGGCAGCAGUAGGGAAUCUUCGGCAAUGGACGAAAGUCUGACCGAGCAACGCCGCGUGAGUGAAGAAGGUUUUCGGAUCGUAAAACUCUGUUGGUAGAGAAGAACGUUGGUGAGAGUGGAAAGCUCAUCAAGUGACGGUAACUACCCAGAAAGGGACGGCUAACUACGUG